rnacentral:rRNA from 1 species
AGCGAACGCUGGCGGCAGGCUUAACACAUGCAAGUCGAGCGGGCCCUUCGGGGUCAGCGGCAGACGGGUGAGUAACGCGUGGGAACGUGCCCUUCGGUUCGGAAUAACUCAGGGAAACUUGAGCUAAUACCGGAUACGCCCUUAUGGGGAAAGGCUUGCUGCCGAAGGAUCGGCCCGCGUCUGAUUAGCUAGUUGGUGAGGUUAUGGCUCACCAAGGCGACGAUCAGUAGCUGGUCUGAGAGGAUGAUCAGCCACACUGGGACUGAGACACGGCCCAGACUCCUACGGGAGGCAGCAGUGGGGAAUAUUGCACAAUGGGGGCAACCCUGAUCCAGCCAUGCCGCGUGAGUGAUGACGGCCUUAGGGUUGUAAAGCUCUUUUCUCCGGGACGAUAAUGACGGUACCGGAGGAAUAAGCCCCGGCUAACUUCGUG